rfam:Xenorhabdus doucetiae str. FRM16 chromosome, complete genome.
UAGCUCAGCCGGUAGAGCAGUUGACUUUUAAUCAAUUGGUCGCAGGUUCGAGCCGAGC